rnacentral:rRNA from 1 species
CCUACGGGGGGCUGCAGUAACGAAUCUUCCGCAAUGCACGAAAGUGUGACGGAGCGACGCCGCGUGGAGGACGAAGUCCUUCGGGAUGUAAACUCCUGUCAGGGGCUACCGGGGCCCCAGAGGAAGGCACGGCUAACUCUGUGCCAGCAGCCGCGGUAAGACAGAGGUGCCGAGCGUUAGGCGGAAUCACUGGGCUUAAAGCGUGUGUAGGCGGGCCGUUCAGUGCCUUGUGAAAUCCCCCGGCUCAACCGGGGAACGGCUGGGCAUACUGGCGGUCUUGAGCCACCUAGGGGCGAGCGGAACAAGCGGUGGAGCGGUGAAAUGCGUAGAUAUCGCUUGGAACGCCGACGGUGAAAACAGCUCGCUGGGUGUGCUGACGCUGAGACACGAAAGCCAGGGGAGCGAACGGGAUUAGAUACCCUUGUAGUC